rnacentral:rRNA from 1 species
CCCUUAGAUGUCCUGGGCCGCACGCGCGCUACACUGAAGGAAUCAGCGUGGCUUUCUCCCUGACCCGAAAGGGUUGGGAAACCCGUUGAAUCUCCUUCGUGAUAGGGAUUGGGGCUUGAAAUUGUUCCCCAUGAACGAGGAAUUCCCAGUAAGCGCGAGUCAUAAGCUCGCGUUGAUUACGUCCCUGCCCUUUGUACACACCGCCCGUCGCUACUACCGAUUGAACGGUUUAGUGAGGGCCUCGGAUUGGUCUCGGCCCGCUCUUUACCGGGCGGCGCCGUUGGUCGAGAAGACGCUCGAACUUGGUCGUUUAGAGGAAGUAAAAGUCGUAACA